rnacentral:rRNA from 1 species
CAAUAGCGUAUAUUAAAGUUGUUGCAGUUAAAAAGCUCGUAGUUGGAUUUCUGGUAGGAUGACUGUGCCCUCAGUAGAGUGUGCGCUGGCGUCUUGCCAUCCUUCUGUUAACCUUUGGGAGCUUCACCGCUCCCUUUGGGGCUCAGAUAUUUUACCUUGAGAAAAUUAGAGUGUUUCAGGCAGGCUAGCGCCGGAAUACAUUAGCAUGGAAUAAUGGAAUAGGACUUUUGCCUCUUCUGUUGGUCAUGGGGUUCGAGUAAUGAUUAAUAGGGAUAGUUGGGGGCAUUAGUACUUCACUGUCAGAGGUGAAAUUCUCGGAUUUGUGAAAGACUAACUUAUGCGAANGNAUUUGCNAAGGAUGUUUNCAUUA